CAUUUAGACUAAAGGUUUCUGCAUUCUGUUUUGAAGAAGUACACGAUUUGUCUCAAUUCCUAGGCAAAGAACAUUCAAUUGUACCACUUGGAUUUGGAAAUAGCACCAUCAAUUCCCCUCAAGCAGUGCAGAAGAGAAUGGAAUAUUGUCUGACUCUCUUCAGCUGGUUAGAAAAUAUGAAAGGGUCGAAGUCUGGGUGAUAGUACUGUUGACUGUUUCAGUCAUUGUAUUAUGCACCCUUUGGUAUACAGUUUAGUAUGGAGACUGUAGGAAAGUAAACUAUCUCAACUGUAGCGGGAAAGUCGUAACCCCUGUGCUAGGUAAUUUUUUUCCCCCAGAAAUGUUAAAAUCAGCAAAAAUGCUUAUGGAAUUUAGGUUUCUUGGUAAAGAUGUGAGUUUUCAAACUACAGUGUGAAGAGGACACCUGUGUUUUCUAAUGCAAAGCAAGGGAAGGUUUGGGCAAGUGGGAAAAAUCCCACUUAAAUAUCCCCUUUGAACAUUUCUAGCCUGUAUUGAAUCUGGCACAGCUGGUCAGCACUGUGGUGGAGGAAACAGGGCUCAUCCUGCCCUGAGGCCACACUUGGCUUUGAAUGGCCUGCUGAGGUCAUAACCCCAAAAGGAGUAACACUGCUGUGGAUUUGGAGAGGAGAAGCGACUUGUCUUUCCAGUGAAAUAUGUGUGCUGGAUGCUGUGAAACGGAGCCUGCAUGGAUUUGCCAGCUCCACCCUCCCUUGCACUGGAACUGGAGGGAAGAAACUAUUCCAGCAGUGGCCUCUGGGAUUGAAAAGAGGGGGAAGAAUUUGCGGUAAACAGCAGAAGGGACAAGGAUUCUUCCCGACAUGGCCCACAGUCUCCAGCUACUUUUUGGACCUUCUGUCUGGGCAGUACUGCUUCUCUUUAUGAUUGCUGGAUCCCAGAGCCAGACAGGAUAAAGGCUAUUAUGAUAAAACUCCCAGAAGUGUUGCUGUUCCUUCAGUAACUUGUAUAGAUGAGAGAAGUUUGGCAAGCGCAGAGAAUCCUGCAUUCCUCUUACUGGAGGGUUUAACGGUACGCAUGAAAGCUCACUAUUAUGUGCAGCUGUGUAGAAAAUUGUAGGGUUCUGCCAUAUAACCCCAAGCAACCUUAAUAGAUUGAAACAAAUGCAAGAAUAUUUGCAAAGUCUGUUAUUCUUCUUACAGGAGAGCCACUGGGCUUUUACUAUUUGUAGAGCAAAUUCAACCGAUAAAGGUUUCCACAACUUGCAGAUUUAAUGAAGAGGUGACAGGAGAAUCUGCAUGCGUGGUUUUGCUGCUUUUUGUAAAGCUAUGAAUGCCUGAAAGUGUCAGACUAGAGAUUAAAAUGCAGCCCUUUGACUUUAAGUAGAGUAAAACCUCAAAUAUUUUUCAUAUAUAAUCUUAGUGGCACUUACUUUCCUGUAAUAACUAGAAUAAGCAUGGACAGAUUUUUCCUUGAAAAAUAUGUUAUCAUCUGGGAAUGAUCUCAGAAUGUCUGAGAGGUUUGGUAGAAGUAGAUGUUUUAUGAGAAUAUUUUCCUGCAAUGGUCUAUUUCCACAUACAACUUCUAACAGCUUUUGUUUGGCUGCUACUCCCUUUUUAAAAUCACAUUUGAGUUGCAGUUCACUUCCCUUUCAGAAAUAAUGAUAGCUGAAUUAUUAUACAGAAUUUGGUUUCAUCAUAAAUGGGAUAUGGAAUAUGAAGUAACUAUAGUUAUAUCUGGGACAGAUGAAGAGCGCAAGAGGAACUCUAAAAAUUAGUCAUUUUGGAUUUCAGGAACUUUAUUUAAUAUGUCAUUUGGCUCUUAGAGGCGAAGAAAUACUUUCCAGUGACAACUUUCUUUUUAAAAGUUUUGCAGGCUUGCCUGAGAUGAUAGCUAUCAGGAUCUGGUGUACCUCCACACAGAAUUAUUCAAUGUUAUUUUAUCAGAAUAUCAAAAACAUAGUUUUUGAGCCUCAAAACCAUCUUCAAUUAUGUAUUAGGGGAAAAUAUAUGGAGCCCCAAACCAAAUGUCACUCAAAAUUGUAGACAUCUGUCUUUGAUCAAAGAAAAGCCUGCAACUGGAGAGGAAGCAUAGAUUUCUUUAAGCAAAAUUGCAUGAUUUAGUUAUUAAGUGGCAUCCAUGUGAUUUUCUUUGUUUUCCUGAAGUGCAUGACUUUAGAAUGAAAUCUUGAUUGCCAUAUUUUUCUAUAAACAGUCAAAGAAAUAAAAGAGUUCAUAUCUGUUGUGUAUAUCUGUUAGCUUCACUUAGAAGAAGAAUGUUAGAAAUAAUUUUCCCCCAUCAGCAAUUGUGCAGUUAACUGUCCUUUAAACUCCUAUUCCAAAAAUGAUAGGACCCUCCACUUCCAAAAGGAAGUGUCUGGGGCUUUUCAGUGAUUUUGUCCAUACUGGUAGUAUGGUACUGACUGCCUCAUGCAGUGAUCUUUUGAAGUUACAA